rnacentral:rRNA from 1 species
GACGAAGGAUGCAAGCGUUAUCCGGAUUCAUUGGGUUUAAAGGGUGCGUAGGCGGCCCGGUAAGUCAGGUGUGAAAGCCCCGGGCUCAACCUGGGAAUUGCAUUUGAGACUGAAUAGCUAGGGUGCGGAAGAGGGAAGCGGAAUUUCCGGUGUAGCGGUGAAAUGCGUAGAUAUGGGAAGGAACACCAGUGGCGAAAGCGGCUUCCUGGUCCAGCACCGACGUUCAGGCACGAAAGCGUGGGGAGCAAACAGG